rnacentral:lncRNA from 10 species
AGAAGGUGUCUUUCACCAGUUAACAGGCUGUGUCCCCCACCACCUGUCCCGUGGCACCAUCGGCAUAGCUCACAGCAGGUGCUGAAUAAACGCUCGCGAACUUUGGAAACUCCUUACCAUGUGGGAUGAGAAACAGUCAUCCUAUCCCAGAGACAUGCAUUUUCCUGUGUCACGGGACCAUGCGGUGAUACACAGAAGGCUGGCUUCUGCAGCAGCAGGGAAUCAACCUAAAUGCCCAUAAUAACUGACCGGAUCAAGAAAACGUAGUUCAUAUGCUCCGUGGAAUACUAUGCGGCCAUAAAAAAGAAGGAGAUCACAUCUUAUUCAGAAACAUGGACAGACCUGGAGACCACUAUCCUAAGUGAACUAACUCAGGAACAGAAAAGCAAAUACUGCACAUUCUCACAUAUAAGUGGGAGCUAAAUGACGAGAACACGUGGACACAAAGAAAGGAACAACAGACACUGGAGCCUACUUUAGGGUGGAGGGUGGGAGGAGGGAGAGGAGCAGAAGAAAUAACUAUUGGGGGCUGGGCUCAGUACCUGGGUGAUGAAAU